GUGAUGUCGUGAACACGUAUUUUGUUCGUGAGUCUAUCUGCCUAGUUAUCGCGUUUCUUGAGAUGUUAAUAUGAUAGUGACAUGGACUACAAUGAAUGUCAGCCAGUGUGACAUACAGUUAUUGUAUUGUCGCUCAGAGAAUCGGAUAUUAAGUUACUUUGCUAACAUUGGUGGCUGCCGUCGGGUACCGUCCGCUUGCUAAUAGGUCGAAUUGUGCUCACCGUUCUAUGGAGUUUUUUACAACCACACACUACUUGAUUUCGAUAGUAAUGUGAUCAUCACUCAAUCAUGUAUUUGGUUUUUCUUCCGGCAGAAAAAUGUAUGUAUGUAAACGAAACAACUUAGCACCACCUAAUAUGUUUAUUGUUUAUUGUUCAAAAAAAUUAAAUAACUAUAUAAUUAA